AAGAAUAGGCUGGGAAAUAAAUCAAUCUUCUAUGAUCUACGAAGUUAUAUUGGCAGUAAUUGACUGAACGAAAAUGCGCUUGUAAUAAGCUUUUUUCAAUUCUAGUCAGGGGCCCCAACACAGAGAAUUUCGAAAAGAAAUUCUACAGGCAAUGCGAGUUGGGGCGGGGCCCCAACA
rnacentral:snRNA from 1 species